AACGAACGCUGGCGGCAGGCCUAACACAUGCAAGUCGAACGGGACCUUCGGGUCUAGUGGCGGACGGGUGAGUAACGCGUGGGAACGUGCCCUUUGGUUCGGAAUAGCCCCGGGAAACUGGGAGUAAUACCGGAUAAGCCCUACGGGGGAAAGAUUUAUCGCCAAAGGAUCGGCCCGCGUUGGAUUAGGUAGUUGGUGAGGUAAUGGCUCACCAAGCCGAAGAUCCAUAGCUGGUUUGAGAGGAUGAUCAGCCACACUGGGACUGAGAAACGGCCCAGACUCCUACGGGAGGCAGCAGUGGGGAAUCUUAGACAAUGGGGGAAACCCUGAUCUAGCCAUGCCGCGUGAUCGAUGAAGGCCUUAGGGUUGUAAAGAUCUUUCAGUGGGGAAGAUAAUGACUGUACCCACAGAAGAAGCCCCGGCUAACUCCGUGCCAGCAGCCGCAGUAA
rnacentral:rRNA from 1 species